rnacentral:rRNA from 1 species
CAGCCGCCGCGGUAAUACAGAGGGUGCAAGCGUUAAUCGGAAUUACUGGGCGUAAAGCGCGCGUAGGUGGUUUGUUAAGUUGGAUGUGAAAUCCCCGGGCUCAACCUGGGAACUGCAUUCAAAACUGACUGACUAGAGUAUGGUAGAGGGUGGUGGAAUUUCCUGUGUAGCGGUGAAAUGCGUAGAUAUAGGAAGGAACACCAGUGGCGAAGGCGACCACCUGGACUAAUACUGACACUGAGGUGCGAAAGCGUGGGGAGCAAACAGG